rnacentral:rRNA from 1 species
ACGAGUGGCGAACGGGUGAGUAACACGUGGGUGACCUGCCCUGCACUUCGGGAUAAGCCUGGGAAACUGGGUCUAAUACCGGAUAGGACCGCACCGUGAGGGUGUGGUGGAAAGUUUUUUCGGUGUGGGAUGGGCCCGCGGCCUAUCAGCUUGUUGGUGGGGUAAUGGCCUACCAAGGCGGCGACGGGUAGCCGGCCUGAGAGGGUGGACGGCCACAUUGGGACUGAGACACGGCCCAGACUCCUACGGGAGGCAGCAGUGGGGAAUAUUGCACAAUGGGCGGAAGCCUGAUGCAGCGACGCCGCGUGGGGGAUGACGGCCUUCGGGUUGUAAACUCCUUUCACCAUCGACGAAGGGUUUCUGACGGUAGAUGGAGAAGAAGCACCGGCUAACUACGUGCCAGCAGCCGCGGUAAUACGUAGGGUGCGAGCGUUGUCCGGAAUUACUGGGCGUAAAGAGCUCGUAGGUGGUUUGUCGCGUCGUCUGUGAAAUUCCGGGGCUUAACUCCGGGCGUGCAGGCGAUACGGGCAUAACUUGAGUACUGUAGGGGAGACUGGAAUUCCUGGUGUAGCGGUGAAAUGCGCAGAUAUCAGGAGGAACACCGGUGGCGAAGGCGGGUCUCUGGGCAGUAACUGACGCUGAGGAGCGAAAGCAUGGGGAGCGAACAGGAUUAGAUACCUGGUAGUCCAUGCCGUAAACGGUGGGCGCUAGGUGUGGGUUUCCUUCCACGGGAUCCGUGCCGUAGCUAACGCAUUAAGCGCCCCGCCUGGGGAGU